rnacentral:rRNA from 1 species
CCCUUAGAUGUCCGGGGCCGCACGCGCGCUACACUGAAGGAAUCAGCGUGGCUUUCUCCCUGACCCGAAAGGGUUGGGAAACCCGUUGAAUCUACUUCGUGAUAGGGAUUGGGGCUUGAAAUUGUUCCCCAUGAACGAGGAAUUCCCAGUAAGCGCGAGUCAUAAGCUCGCGUUGAUUACGUCCCUGCCCUUUGUACACACCGCCCGUCGCUACUACCGAUUGAACGGUUUAGUGAGGGCCUCGGAUUGGUCUCGGCCCGCUCUUUACCGGGCGGCGCCGUUGGUCGAGAAGACGCUCGAACUUGAUCGUUUAGAGGAAGUAAAAGUCGUAACA